CCUUCGGGGUAGAUGUUUAUGGAAUGAGCGGCGGACGGGUGAGUAACACGUGGGCAACCUGCCUGUAAGAUCGGGAUAACUCGCGGAAACGUGAGCUAAUACCGGAUAACACUUUUCAUCUCAUGGUGAGAAGAUAAAAGACGGUUUCGGCUGUCACUUACAGAUGGGCCCGCGGCGCAUUAGCUAGUUGGUGAGGUAACGGCUCACCAAGGCGACGAUGCGUAGCCGACCUGAGAGGGUGAUCGGCCACACUGGGACUGAGACACGGCCCAGACUCCUACGGGAGGCAGCAGUAGGGAAUCUUCCGCAAUGGACGAAAGUCUGACGGAGCAACGCCGCGUGAGUGAUGAAGGUUUUCGGAUCGUAAAACUCUGUUGUUAGGGAAGAACAAGUUGGGUAGUAACUGACCCAACCUUGACGGUACCUAACCAGAAAGCCACGGCUAACUACGUGCCAGCAGCCGCGGUAAUACGUAGGUGGCAAGCGUUGUCCGGAAUUAUUGGGCGUAAAGCGCUCGCAGGCGGUCUUUUAAGUCUGAUGUGAAAGCCCACGGCUUAACCGUGGAGGGUCAUUGGAAACUGGAGGACUUGAGUACAGAAGA
rnacentral:rRNA from 1 species